UUCGCAAUGCCCGAAAGGGUGACGAAGCGACGCCGCGUGUGGGAAGAAGGCCUUCGGGUUGUAAACCACUGUCGGGAGUUAAGAAAUGCAAGGAUAUUAGUAGUGUCUUUGUUUGACUAAGGCUCCGGAGGAAGCCACGGCUAACUCUGUGCCAGCAGCCGCGGUAAUACAGAGGCGGCAAGCGUUGUCCGGAAUUAUUGGGCGUAAAGAGCACGUAGGCGGCUAUGUAAGUCGGUUGUGAAAGCCUUCCGCUCAACGGAAGAACAGCAUCCGAUACUACAUGGCUUGAGUGCGGGAGGGGAGAGUGGAACUUCUGGUGGAGCGGUGAAAUGCGUAGAUAUCAGAAGGAACGCCGGCGGCGAAAGCGGCUCUCUGGCCCAUAACUGACGCUGAGUGUGCGAAAGCUAGGGGAGCAAACGGGAUUAGAUACCCCGGUAGUCCUAGCCGUAAAC
rnacentral:rRNA from 1 species